UUCCUGCCUCUGUUUAUCCGGAGCUGCCAGUGCUGGGCUGUCGUGUACCAUUGCAAGCUUGAGGCAGCCUCCUGUGUGGAAAUUCCAAGGGGAAAGCGUAACGCUGGUUUUGCCACUUUUGGACCCCUCAGCCAGGAAUAAUCCAGAUCACCUUUCCUGGAAGUCAGUUUGCUGAAACUACUGAAGCAGCAGUUCCUGGAAGUUGAAGAAAAGGUAAAUAGAAGCAAAUUCGUGUCUGCUAAAGUCCCCUUAAGAGGGAAACCCAUGUUUGGAGGGCCCCUAUUGUUUCUCAGACAUCUCUGUAUGUAAUAUUUUACCUUCCUCUGCCUGGCCACACCCUAGUUUACCUUCGCCAAUGGCUGCCAUCUUAGAAAUG
rnacentral:lncRNA from 1 species